GGAGGAGUUAGUUGAGGCAGGAGAGAAGCCAAAAGGGAGGUGGAGGAGCAGCCAAUAGGGAGGGAAGUGGGAAGGACUUAGAGGAAGGAGGAGGAGCAGUAAAAAGGAAAACAGAAGAGCAGAGGGGAAGAGACUAGAAAAAGCAGCAGUGAGGAGGAAGAAGUUGACCGCGGCUAACCUGGGAAGGUAGAAAGCCGUGCAGCGGGCGGCCCUGAAGCCUCAGGAGCAGCCCCAGCCUCAGCAGCCACCUCAGCCCGGAGAGGGCGGGCCACUGGCGCUCGAGGUUGGUUCCCACGCGGAAACCACGAGUACUCAUUUCGGGAGCCGGCUCAGGCACUCGGGAACACACACAUGAAAUCGGCACCCGUGGAGGAAAUAAGCGGAAAUGACAAGAGCCUCGGACAGGGAACAGCCGAGGCCGGCUAGUG
rnacentral:lncRNA from 1 species